UACGUAGGAGGCGAGCGUUGUCCGGAAUUACUGGGCGUAAAGCGUGCGUAGGCGGUUUGUUAAGUCUGCUGUGAAAUCCCCGGGCUCAACCUGGGAAUGGCAGUGGAUACUGGCAAGCUAGAGUGUGUCAGAGGAUGGUGGAAUUCCCGGUGUAGCGGUGAAAUGCGUAGAGAUCGGGAGGAACAUCAGUGGCGAAGGCGGCCAUCUGGGACAACACUGACGCUGAGGCACGAAAGCGUGGGGAGCAAACAGG
rnacentral:rRNA from 1 species